GAAAUGCAAUAAGUAAUGUGAAUUGCAGAAUUCAGUGAAUCAUCGAAUCUUUGAACGCAUAUUGCGCCCCUUGGUAUUCCGAGGGGCAUGCCUGUUCGAGCGUCAUUGCAACCCUCAAGCUCUGCUUGGUAUUGGGCCUUCGCCGGGGCGGUUGCUCCCCCGGCGGGCCUAAAGCUAUCGGCGGCGUCUGUCCUGCUUCAAGCGUAGUAAAGUAUCGUCUUUCGCUUUGGAAGUCGGGGCUGCACCUGCCGGAUAACCGGGCUUUACACGCCCAACCCUCUCAAGGUUGACCUCGGAUCAGGUAGGGAUACCCGCUGAACUUAAGC
rnacentral:misc_RNA from 1 species